GAUGAACGCUGGCGGCGUGCCUAACACAUGCCAGUCGAACGGUGAAGCGCCUUCCUUUCUGGUGGGUGUGGACGAGCGGCGAACGGGUGAGUAACACGUGAGCAACCUGCCCCCUUUUUCUGGAUAACCGCAUGACAGUGUGGCUAAUACGGGAUAUUCUGGGUCUGUCGCAUGAUGGGUCUGGGAAAGAUAUUGUGUCGCUGGGGGAUGGUCUCGCGGAUUAUCAGCUAGUUGGUAGGGUGACGGCCUACCAAGGCGGUGCGGAGUAGCCGGCCUGAGAGGGUGGACGGUCACGCAGGUGAGGAGAGGCGGAGAAGCCUCCGAGAGGAGGCAGCAGUGAAGAAUAGUGCACGGGGGGAAGAAGGCUGAAGCAACGCCGCGGGGGGGAGGAUGGAGUCCGUAGUGUAAAGAACUUCUUUCGGGGGUGAAGCAGGCUGGCCGUAUUUGUGGGUGGGUUGACGGUAGCUAGAGAAGAAGCGCCGGCUAACUACGUG
rnacentral:rRNA from 1 species